rnacentral:rRNA from 1 species
UACGGAGGGUGCAAGCGUUGCUCGGAAUUAUUGGGCGUAAAGGGUAGGUAGGUGGUCUCGUUUGUCAGGGGUGAAAGCCUUGGGCUUAACUCAAGAAGUGCCCCUGAAACGGCGAGACUGGAGUGCUGGAGAGGCUAGUGGAAUUCCCGGUGUAGUGGUGGAAUGCGUAGAUAUCGGGAGGAACACCGGUGGCGAAGGCGGUUCUCUGGGCCUUACCUGACGCUGAGGAGCGAAAGCGUGGGGAGCGAACAGG